rnacentral:rRNA from 1 species
GACGAACGCUGGCGGCGUGCUUAACACAUGCAAGUCGAGCGGAAAGGCUCCUUCGGGGGUACUCGAGCGGCGAACGGGUGAGUAACACGUGAGUAAUCUGCCCUGCGCUCUGGGAUAGCCACCGGAAACGGUGAUUAAUACCGGGUAGGACCACUUCACGCAUGUGAUGGUGGUGGAAAGUUUUUUCGGCGCAGGAUGUGCUCGCGGCCUAUCAGCUUGUUGGUGAGGUAAUGGCUCACCAAGGCUUUGACGGGUGGCCGGCCUGAGAGGGUGACCGGGCACACUGGGACUGAGACACGGCCCAGACUCCUACGGGAGGCAGCAGUGGGGAAUAUUGGACAAUGGGCGGAAGCCUGAUCCAGCAACGCCGCGUGAGGGAUGACGGCCUUCGGGUUGUAAACCUCUUUCAGUACCGACGAAGCGAAAGUGACGGUAGGUACAGAAGAAGGACCGGCCAACUACGUGCCAGCAGCCGCAGUAAGAC